rnacentral:sRNA from 1 species
UGUUCUACUGGGGAUCGAGAAACUAGGU